CCUAACUUAGCGGCGGACGGGUGAGUAAUACUUAGGAAUCUGCCUAUUAGUGGGGGACAACAGUUGGAAACGACUGCUAAUACCGCAUACGCCCUACGGGGGAAAGCAGGGGAUCUUCGGACCUUGCGCUAAUAGAUGAGCCUAAGUCAGAUUAGCUAGUUGGUGGGGUAAAGGCCUACCAAGGCGACGAUCUGUAGCGGGUCUGAGAGGAUGAUCCGCCACACUGGGACUGAGACACGGCCCAGACUCCUACGGGAGGCAGCGGUGGGGAAUAUUGGACAAUGGGGGGAACCCUGAUCCAGCCAUGCCGCGUGUGUGAAGAAGGCCUUUUGGUUGUAAAGCACUUUAAGCGAGGAGGAGGCUCCUUUAGUUAAUACCUAAAGUGAGUGGACGUUACUCGCAGAAUAAGCACCGGCUAACUCUGUGCCAGCAGCCGCGGUAAUACAGAGGGUGCGAGCGUUAAUCGGAUUUACUGGGCGUAAAGCGUGCGUAGGUGGCCAAUUAAGUCAAAUGUGAAAUCCCUGAGCUUAACUUAGGA
rnacentral:rRNA from 1 species